UCACACCAGUCGGGGCGGUAGCGGUGUCUUGUACCUGAAAUCCGCUGUAGCAGGGAUGGAUUCCGGUUUUGAGGGUUGCUUAUGUGCAGCAGUCAUGCCGGAGAUGUGUUGAGGCCUUGGCCUUGCGCAAUUAUCCCUCAUGAACCAUGUCAGGCGGGGAACCGAGCAGCAUUAAGUGAUACGGGUAAUGUGCCGUGAGUACACCUGGGCUGAGCAUUUUCGGCAAAGGACGUGUAUGUCAGCAUAUUCGAUCUAUCGGUGUGUGA
rnacentral:SRP_RNA from 1 species